GGCUGGGAACGUAACGGGGAUGAUGGGUUCGAGGUGGCCGAUAUCGCCGUCACGAGCCCGACUGCUUCCCGACUAUGUGAGGGGGAAGAAUUGAGGGAGAGGGAAACUACAUAAAAUUAUUUCCCGAUAGAUCCCCGUUCGUGUCCCGGUCAGAAUUCUUUCCCGAUAGAUUCCCGUUUGCGUCCCGGCCAGGAUUCUUUCCCGAUGGAUCCCCGUUAACGUCCCGAUCUGCUGUGGUGUACUGGCUAAGUAUUUCUUCCCGCUCGUCUCCCGAUGUUUAUGCAGAUUCGGUAACACGUGAUCGGAUGGUACAGCUCGAGACAAAGUUUCUGAAACACGGGUUUUCUGUAUUGGACUUUUCCCAGCCACCUUUGGGAAAUGCUUGUUGAGCAGAAUCCUUGGGGAUUCUGUUCAACAAGUGUUCCCCUUAGGCCGCAGGGGAGGCGUAGAGAAGUGAAAUACAAAACACCCGUGUUUCAGAAACUUUUGUCCCAAGCUGUACGAGACAGUGAAGCAUCCCUUCAGGAAGGAAUUUGGCUGUCUGGUAUGAGGUAACUCUUUCAAACAUUGGGCUGCAGUUCACUUCAUGUGUUGUGUUGUGUUGUGUUGUAUGACGGAAAACAUGCACACGCAGCACCCUGAACAGAAGUAUUAAUGGAGCCUCACUGCAAAGCACGCAAGUACAAGAUACUCGGGAAGAGUCGGCCACGCCCGAACGAAACGACCGAAUCUCCCGAAUCGAAAAACUCACGUGAAACGAAACGAAGAGAGCUUUAGCAAGUCGAACUGAUCGGACGAAAACCGCUGCACCGAAACCCGCAAAGACUACGCUGGAGCUCCCUGCAUUUGGGCUACCGCGACUGCCAUCGCCAUCAUCUUUGUUUUGGUUGUCAUUGCUGGGUGCAAAUGGCCGGCGUGUGUGUUCUUAAUGUUUCUGAGCAACAAGUUUUGCAAAGUUUGGUUCGGAGGGAGUAUGGAACGCCGUUUUGUGGUCAACGUGGCCAGAGUGCCUCAAAAGUACUCCUGCCGCAUUCUGGUCACUGUUAUAAAUGUGAAUCCCUGCCACCAUCAGCAGCUUUUAAGUAGAUUCAUGGCACAUGAGGAACCUGCGAUGUACACCAUCGCACACAGUCAAGAAAAAUGUAGCAUUUAACCUUGCUUUCCUUCAUUAUAACAAACAAAAAAAAAAGAAAGAAAGAAAGAACACUAGAGAAAGGGUCGGCAAAACAGUGAGUGUUUUGUUGUUUUUGAUUCUAUUGAUCUCUCACUGUCAGGUUGCACUGCCGAUCUGUUCACAAUCAUAACUAACUAAUACCUUAGCUUUGGCCAAUCUCAUGUUGCAAUUUUGCUUCAAACACAACAUUCAGGGAUUCUUAUGAAAACAGCAGCAUUUCUGAAAGAUCCUGGAACGGCCACAAUCUCAAGAGGUAGUACGAUUCUACCCGUCGUCAUAUUUCGUCCGCCAAGCCAUUGCGCGGAGAUGUUGGCUCCAUGCCCAUUUCAACACAGGCUCACCCGCGCUCGCUCGCGCGUCGUCGCUUGUCUUCCAUGCCACCAGCCAGCGCUGCGCGCUGCCUGUCGCGCAUGCGCUGUUCUUGUUGGCUUCGCUUUGGCUGCUGUAACGGUCGUUUCUCGUCGCCGCGUGUAGUUCGCGUAAUUGCGAGCGUUCCAGCAAGUCUAAAGCGUUUUAGAGGCUUUGUAUUGUUGUUCUCACCUGGUGCUGUCGUUCUUGCAACCCGUCUGAUAUUGCAACUGUCUGUAAGUGGAAGCGUUUCUUCUAACCGCGAGCAAACCAGUCGGUCUCGUUUGACAUGUCAAAGAGUGAAGACGCUACCUUGCAUGUGAAGCCAAAUCGUUCUUCGCCUUCAGGAUUAUUGCCGUUUCGGGGAUCUGCGCAACGACAGGGAGAUAGAACGCCAAGUGAAGUCGACUGUGUACUUUGUGCAGACGGUUCAGCGUGUAUGACGCAGCGGCCUUCAGCAAGAGAAACUCAAGCACCGUGUUCAAAUGCAGUGGGGACUCUUGCUGGCCAUGACAACGCUUAGAAGUGCUUUUUCGGAAGAAGGACAAGUUGGACCGGAAAUGAGGACCUAGGUGUGCUCUUUUGCGCUGUUGUUCACCGUUCGAUCAUUACCAGUUUUUGUGCCCCCGUGAGUUCAACGCUUAGGUAUGUUGAUGAUAAAUGGAUAUGCGUUAAAAGGUACGUACUCCGGAGUGGUGAAUUGUUCUGGUGAAGUGAUUCGUUGCUGCUAUCUCCUGUUUCGUGAGGGUUCUUGUCGGUACUCAUAUACCGCAGGCAUGAGGGGCAUUCUUUGCAGAACAUUUCAGUAAACCAAGACUGCAGCAUUUUCAAGAUUGCCAUAACCAGCAUCAAUGCAGCUCUCAUGUCAACAUCAGCAUCAAGACAGCUCUCAUGUCAACAUCAGCAUCAAGACAGCUCUGAUAGACCACCUCUUACUGUGUACGUUCCCCCCCCCUUUUGAGACACCAUUGAAGGGCCAGUGGUUACGCAGGCAGGCUGGAUAUUACGGUAGACCAUUUCCACCCUUUUCUUUUCAGGCUACAUUGGCAAUGACAGUAGUUAUGCGGACAUGCUGCAUAUUUCUGUAUACCCCUCUUUUUUUGUUUUUCAUUUCAGACACAAUUGGCAUGCAUUGGAUGAUGCAGGCAGACUGCUUAGUGUACACCACUCGUCGUUUAGUCUAUUGAGGUGCUCCAAGUGUUGUGUCAGUCUAUUUCCUCUCCGAAAAUAAAAUGUUGGGCUCUACA